CUCAGCUUGGCGAAUAUGUCUAUGCCUAACCAGUUGCGCGCGCAACUCCAAUCGUCGCCGUCGCUGCGUUAUGUAGAUCCGUGCGCGCGUGCCCCACCUGGUCCCACCUAACAACCCAUAUUCGCAUUUUCUCAGCGUGAUACGCGGCAGGAAUACAGUCACAUCGUAUCUCCCUCGUUCUCUCGUUCCCCACCGCCCCUGUUCCUUCUCUUCUCGUUCCCCAUCUCCAUCUCCAUCGAAUCCGGCGCACCGCCGGCUCCCUCCUCCGCCACCAUGGCCACUCACCGCCGGGUCGCUCCUCCAUGGCCUCGAGCCCUCUCCCCUGUGACGUUCUUCUUCACCCAUAGGCGAUUGUUCUCCACCCACGCCCUGCUGCCUCUAUCGUCAGAUCCGCCAUCGAGGUAAGAUGGAGCAGCAUGGCUACCUCAUCGCCAUCGAGCCUCCUGGUGAGAGGAUGCCGGGCAUCGACGAACAACGAGCAGCAGCAUCACCACCACUGUGAGCAGAUCGGUGAUGGAAAUCUACGCAUUAAGGCAGUGAGGAGUCAAGCGGCUCGGCGGCAAAGCCCAGACACACACCUCCCGCAAGCACGCCGGUGGUCAAGACCUCCAACUCAUCUUCCCCGUCUUCCUCAGAGCUUUCGGGAAAUGACUGCUCUUGUUUUGCCCCUCUCCACAAACAGGAAAACGGAUUGAUCUUAAUGUACUUUUGUAAUUCAUAGUUGAGGUAAUAUCACUAGAAGUCAUAGAACUUGUUUUCGAUGUUCAGUUUGAUGUUAGAACUUUAAAAAUACGGAUUUAUGGUCGCCAAACUUGGGUUCUCGUGCAAAUACGGUUACUUUGCCCGUAUCCAGCACUUAAGUGGCAUGCCAACAUGGCUAUGGGCCACUGUCAGUGACCGGAGCAAGUGUGCGCAUGUUUUUUAGAAACAUCUCUGCCCUAUAUUUAAUUGUGCAGCAGCACGUGUGGGUCCCACUUGACAGUCUGUUAGAUGAAUAAAGGCCAGCGGGCUGUCGCUGCCGCUGCGUUGUGUUUUUCCUUGUAGUCUAAUCCGUCCAAUUUCACGUCGUCAUGUACAAACAUGCCCUGUGCCAACCACUGCACCGAGCACAUUUUCAUGUCUAUGAAGAGAUACAUCAUCUUUUA